UUGGAGGAUGUAUAGCGAUAGCUAAUUGCAUCGAAAAUAUGAUGCAAGAUCGAUUUAUUGAAUAAAAUUCUGGGUAGAAUUAUGAUUAUGACAUUGUCUACCCAUGUGUCUUGACCAAAUUACGUGCCAGCAGUCGCGGUAAUACGUAGAAGACUAGUGUUAUUCAUCUUUAAUAGGUUUAAAGGGUACCUAGACGGUAAAUCAAGCCCUAGACGGGACUAAUUUGCUAGAGUUACUUGUGAGGGGGUUUUAAAGUACUAAUGGUGUAGAGAUGAAAUUUUGUAAUACCAUUUUUCGAAAGGAAAGUAAUGGCACAGGUAUAGGCGAAAGCAUCCCCUUAUGUGAUAACUGACGUUGAAGGACGAAGGCUUUGAGUCGCGAACAGGAUUAGAUACCCUGGUAGUCAAAGCAGAAAAUAAUGAGUGUCAUAGAUUAGAUAUUAAAGUUUAUUCUAUAAAUGAAAGUGUAAGCACUCCACCUCAAGAGUAAUUUGGCAACAUUGGAACUGAAAUCAUUAGACCGUUUCUGAAACCAGUAGUGAAGUAUGUUGUUUAAUUUGAUAAUCCGCAAAAAACCUUACCACAAUUUGAAUAUUUAUAUCGUUGAUAUAAUUACAAGCGUUGCACGGCUGUCUUCAGUUAAUGUCGUGAGAUUUUGGUUAGAUCCAUUAAAUUAACGCAAGCCCUUACUUUAUUUUAAAAUAAAGUCGUUCCCCACUAGAUUGGAUAAGAUAACAGGGAUUAAGACAAGUCAUCAUGGCCUGAAUAUUGUGGGCUAUAG
rnacentral:rRNA from 1 species